AGAAUCAACGCUGGCGGCGUGCCUAACACAUGCAAGUCGAACGAGAAAGGGGAGCAAUCCCUGAGUACAGUGGCGACCGGGUGAGUAACACGUGACCAAUCUACCUUCGAGUGGGGGAUAACUCCGGGAAACCGGGGCUAAUACCGCAUAACAUCUUUGGAAUGCAAAUUCCGUUGAUCAAAGGAGCAAUUCGCUUGAAGAGGAGGUCGCGGCUGAUUAGCUAGUUGGCGGGGUAAUGGCCCACCAAGGCGAAGAUCGGUAUCCGGCCUGAGAGGGCGCACGGACACACUGGAACUGAAACACGGUCCAGACUCCUACGGGAGGCAGCAGUGGGGAAUUUUGCGCAAUGGGGGAAACCCUGACGCAGCAACGCCGCGUGGAGGAUGAAGUCCUUGGGACGUAAACUCCUUUCGACCAAGACGAUAAUGACGGUACUGGUGGAAGAAGCACCGGCUAACUCUGCGCCAGCAGCCGC
rnacentral:rRNA from 1 species